rnacentral:rRNA from 1 species
UACGAAGGGGGCUAGCGUUGCUCGGAAUCACUGGGCGUAAAGGGUGCGUAGGCGGGGCUUUAAGUCAGGGGGGAAAUCCUGGAGCUCAACUCCAGAACUGCCUUUGAUACUGAAGAUCUUGAGUUCGGGAGAGGUGAGUGGAACUGCGAGUGUAGAGGUGAAAUUCGUAGAUAUUCGCAAGAACACCAGUGGCGAAGGCGGCUCAUUGGCCCGAUACUGACGCUGAGGCACGAAAGCGUGGGGAGCAAACAGG